CAAGCAUAAAACUCAUAGAUUUGUUAUGCGUUGUAGUGACGUGGGUGUUUUCUAUUAUAAAACUUUAUGCUAGAUUUGCAAGACAUCACAAAAGCAAGAAAGAUACCGAAGCGUGCUUUGCCUAUUAUUUGCUUCAAAGAAGUCAGCCCCCCAUUGUCGGAUGCUUCAAACACUUCCAUUAUAGAUUCAGAUAAUUGAAGUGAUAUCGGG